UACAGAGGGUGCAAGCGUUAAUCGGAAUUACUGGGCGUAAAGCGUGCGCAGGCGGCUUCUCAAGUCAGGGGUGAAAGCCCAGAGCUCAACUCUGGAAUUGCCUUUGAGACUGUGAAGCUUGAGUACGAGAGAGGUGAGUGGAAUUCCCAGUGUAGAGGUGAAAUUCGUAGAUAUUGGGAAGAACACCGGUGGCGAAGGCGGCUCACUGGCUCGUAACUGACGCUCAUGCACGACAGCGUGGGGAUCAAACAGG
rnacentral:rRNA from 1 species